rnacentral:rRNA from 1 species
CCUACGGGAGGCUGCAGUGAGGAAUAUUGGUCAAUGGCCGGAAGGCUGAACCAGCCAUGCCGCGUGAAGGUCAGUGCCCUAUGGGCGUUAAACUUCUUUUGUGCGGGAGCAAUAAUGGUCACGUGUGGCCAGACGAGAGUACCGUACGAAUAAGCAGCGGCUAACUCCGUGCCAGCAGCCGCGGUAAUACGGGGGAUGCAAGCGUUAUCCGGAUUUAUUGGGGUUAAAGGGUGCGUAGGCUGUGAGGUAAGUCAGCGGUGAAAUGCCCCCGCUCAACGGGGUGAAGUGCCAUUGAUACUGGCUUGCUGGAAUGCGGAUGCCGUGGGAGGAAGUUGUGGUGUAGCGGUGAAAUGCAUAGAGAGCACACAGAACACCGAUUGCGAAGGCAUCUCACGAAUCCGCGAUUGACGCUGAUGCACGAAAGCGUGGGUAUCAAACAGGAUUAGAUACCCUAGUAGUC